GAGCGGCGGCAGCGAGCGGUCCGUCUCGCACGCGCGGGCACCGCGCUGGUCCUGGGCUGCAGGUUUCCCAGAUGAUGGCAUCCGAGAACUUAAACAAAGGGGGCUGCCGCCGGCGCGCAACGGCUGCGGAAAGUUGCGGUGGCGGAUUUCCAAGGAGCGUGGCCACGACCAGAGCUCUUGGCGAUGCGAGCCCCCGCUUCCCACCCCCGCCGAUCAGAGAAGGGGGCCGGCUGGUGAAGGGAAGAGGAAACUUUGAAACCACUGGGGACACAUCUGUCUAUAGACCUAUUGCGAACGCCCAGAGCCGCCGAGGGAACGCCAACGUCUGGGCCGGACACUAAGAACAACUGCUGGGAAAAAAAUAAAACACCAACCCCAACCGUCAGCAACAAGGAAAGAUGUCGCAUCAGACUGUGACUGUUGCGAGGAGAAUGAAAAAGGACUCUUGUUUCAGAGGCAACCAAGAGCUCCGGCAAUAGCAACUUCAGAGAAAUGCACCAUCGCAAGAAGUUUUCCUAGGACAGAACAAAACUUGAAACGAGAGGACCAGAGGGGGAGAGCAGGAGCCAGCCUCCCCUCUCCGCACUCGCGAGCAGCCAGCAGCACCACGCCUUCAAGGACGAAAAAGUUUUACUACUCUAAGGGAAAACGAGUGAAAUGUGUUCCUGAGGAGGAGAGGAGAGGAGAGGAGAGAGCGGACAAGAGAAGGAGCGGGCCGGUUGCUGGUCAUCCGUAAUUUGGCUAAGGAAGAAAGGAGCAGCUUCUUUCUUUGUUAUCUCCCGUGAAACCUUCACUUAGCAGGUGGACGGAGCCCCGCGACCGGGCAGAGUCCGGGCUCGCCCGAGGACAGGAGGAGGAGCGGGAGCCCGCGCGUCCCGGGAGAGCGCCCCGAGUGCAGGU
rnacentral:lncRNA from 1 species